CGUAGUCGAUGGGAAACAGGUUAAUAUUCCUGUACUUGGUGUUACUGCGAAGGGGGGACGGAGAAGGCUAUGUUGGCCGGGCGACGGUUGUCCCGGUUUAAGCGUGUAGGCUGGUUUUCCAGGCAAAUCCGGAAAAUCAAGGCUGAGGCGUGAUGACGAGGCACUACGGUGCUGAAGCAACAAAUGCCCUGCUUCCAGGAAAAGCCUCUAAGCAUCAGGUAACAUCAAAUCGUACCCCAAACCGACACAGGUGGUCAGGUAGAGAAUACCAAGGCGCUUGAGAGAACUCGGGUGAAGGAACUAGGCAAAAUGGUGCCGUAACUUCGGGAGAAGGCACGCUGAUAUGUAGGUGAAGUCCCUCGCGGAUGGAGCUGAAAUCAGUCGAAGAUACCAGCUGGCUGCAACUGUUUAUUAAAAACACAGCACUGUGCAAACACGAAAGUGGACGUAUACGGUGUGACGCCUGCCCGGUGC
rnacentral:rRNA from 1 species